rnacentral:rRNA from 1 species
AUUGAACGCUGGCGGCAUGCUUUACACAUGCAAGUCGAACGGCAGCGCGGGCUUCGGCCUGGCGGCGAGUGGCGAACGGGUGAGUAAUACAUCGGAACGUGCCCCGUAGUGGUGGGUAGACCGGCGAAAGCCGGGUUAAUACCGCAUAAGACCUGAGGGUGAAAGCGGGGGAGCGAAAGGCCUCGCGCUAUUGGAGCGGCCGACGUCGGAUUAGCUAGUUGGUGGGGUGAAGGCUUACCAAGGGGGGGAUCCGGAGCUCGUCUGAGAGGACGAGCGGCCGCACUAGGACUGGGACGCGGCCCAUGCUACUGCGGGACGCAGCAGUGUCGUAUUUUGGACAAUGGGGGCGACUCUGAUCCAGUCGUCCCAAGCGCGAUAAAGCGGCCUUCCGGUUGUGAACCCGUUUUGCUGGGGAUAAACCCCUUUCGGCUAAUACCCCGCGGGGGUGACGGUACCGGAAGAAUAAGCACCGGCUAACUACGUG